GAUGAAGAACGUAGUGAAAUGCGAUAAUUAAUGUGAAUUGCAGAAUUCAGUGAAUCAUCGAGUCUUUGAACGCACAUUGCGCCCCCUGGUAUUCUGGGGGGCAUGCCUGUCCGAGCGUCAUUGCUGCCCUCAAGCACGGCUUGUGUGUUGGGCUUCCGUCCCUGGCAACGGGGACGGGCCCAAAAGGCAGUGGCGGCACCAUGUCUGGUCCUCGAGCGUAUGGGGCUUUGUCACCCGCUCCCGUAGGUCCAGCUGGCAGCUAGCCUCGCAACCAAUCUUUUUAACCAGGUUGACCUCGGAUCAGGUAGGGAUACCCGCUGAACUUAAGCAUAUCAAUAAGCGGAGGA
rnacentral:misc_RNA from 1 species